rnacentral:rRNA from 1 species
CGGCAGCACGGGGGCAACCCUGGUGGCGAGUGGCGAACGGGUGAGUAAUACAUCGGAACGUGUCCUGUAGUGGGGGAUAGCCCGGCGAAAGCCGGAUUAAUACCGCAUACGCUCUACGGAGGAAAGGGGGGGAUCUUAGGACCUCCCGCUACAGGGGCGGCCGAUGGCAGAUUAGCUAGUUGGUGGGGUAAAGGCCUACCAAGGCGACGAUCUGUAGCUGGUCUGAGAGGACGACCAGCCACACUGGGACUGAGACACGGCCCAGACUCCUACGGGAGGCAGCAGUGGGGAAUUUUGGACAAUGGGGGCAACCCUGAUCCAGCAAUGCCGCGUGUGUGAAGAAGGCCUUCGGGUUGUAAAGCACUUUUGUCCGGAAAGAAAACGCCGUGGUUAAUACCCGUGGCGGAUGACGGUACCGGAAGAAUAAGCACCGGCUAACUACGUGCCAGCAGCCGCGGUAAUACGUAGGGUGCAAGCGUUAAUCGGAAUUACUGGGCGUAAAGCGUGCGCAGGCGGUCCGCUAAGACAGAUGUGAAAUCCCCGGGCUUAACCUGGGAACUGCAUUUGUGACUGGCGGGCUAGAGUAUGGCAGAGGGGGGUAGAAUUCCACGUGUAGCAGUGAAAUGCGUAGAGAUGUGGAGGAAUACCGAUGGCGAAGGCAGCCCCCUGGGCCAAUACUGACGCUCAUGCACGAAAGCGUGGGGAGCAAACAGGAUUA